CAAUAAGCGGAGGAAAAGAAACCAACAGGGAUUACCUCAGUAACGGCGAGUGAAGCGGUAACAGCUCAAAUUUGAAAUCUGGUCCCCUCUGGGGGCCCGAGUUGUAAUUUGAAGAGGAUGCUUUUGGCGAGGCGCCUUCCGAGUGCCCUGGAACGGGACGCCACAGAGGGUGAGAGCCCCGUAUGGUAGGACGCCGAGCCUCUGUAAAGCUCCUUCGACGAGUCGAGUAGUUUGGGAAUGCUGCUCAAAAUGGGAGGUAAACCCCUUCUAAAGCUAAAUAUUGGCCAGAGACCGAUAGCGCACAAGUAGAGUGAUCGAAAGAUGAAAAGCACUUUGAAAAGAGAGUUAAACAGCACGUGAAAUUGUUGAAAGGGAAGCGCUUGCGACCAGACUUGCGCCCGUCGGAUCAACCGUCCCUCGUGGGCGGCGCACUCCGGCGGGCUCAGGCCAGCAUCAGUUUUCCUGGGGGGAGAAAGGCGGCGGGAAUGUAGCUCUUCGGAGUGUUAUAGCCCGCCGUGUAAUGCCCCCGGGGGGACUGAGGACCGCGCGAAAGCAAGGAUGCUGGCGUAAUGG
rnacentral:rRNA from 1 species